AACGAACGCUGGCGGCGCGCCUAAUACAUGCAAGUCGAGCGAGAAGACGUAGCAAUACGUUUGUAAAGCGGCGAACGGGUGAGGAAUACAUGGGUAACCUACCCUCGAGUGGGGAAGUAACUAGCCGAAACGGUUAGCUAAUACCGCGUACGCUCCUUGGACUUCGGUUCAGGGAGGAAAGCGAUACCGUGGGUAUCGCGCUCUUGGAUGGGCGUCAUGUCCUAUCAGCUUGUUGGUGAGGAACGGCUCACCAAGGCUUCGACGGGUAGCUGGUCUGAGAGGA
rnacentral:rRNA from 1 species